UACGGGGGGGGCAAGCGUUGUUCGGAAUUACUGGGCGUAAAGGGCUCGUAGGCGGCCCACUAAGUCAGAUGUGAAAUCCCCAGGCUCAACCUGGGAACUGCAUCUGAUACUGGUGGGCUUGAAUUCGGGAGAGGGAUGCAGAAUUCCAGGUGUAGCGGUGAAAUGCGUAGAUAUCUGGAGGAACACCGGUGGCGAAGGCGGCAUCCUGGACCAUUACUGACGCUGAGACGCGAAAGCGUGGGGAGCAAACAGG
rnacentral:rRNA from 1 species